ACGUAGGGUGCGAGCGUUAAUCGGAAUUACUGGGCGUAAAGCGUGCGCAGGCGGUUACGCAAGUCAGGUGUGAAAGCCCCGAGCUUAACUUGGGAAUUGCAUUUGAAACUACGUGACUGGAGUGUGGCAGAGGGAGGUGGAAUUCCACGUGUAGCGGUGAAAUGCGUAGAUAUGUGGAGGAACACCGAUGGCGAAGGCAGCCUCCUGGGCCAACACUGACGCUCAUGCACGAAAGCGUGGGGAGCAAACAGG
rnacentral:rRNA from 1 species